GUUGGAGCUCGUGUUGCUCGGUCUUUAGUUCUUUAUGUUACGUUUUGUGUACUAUUGUAUUGUAUUUGUCUAUUAUAUUCGGGUGCGUGCGGAGAUCGCCAACUAGAAAACGGUUGACAUUUUCUUCUUUAUGAACUAGAACUAUUUUCGACCUUGGUGCCUUAUUUUUGGUAAAAAUCUAAAACACUGCGACGUGUUUUCAAAAUCUUUGUUCCCAUAAAACUUCAUUUCAUCAAGGUCUCUUCUCAGAAUAUCAGCCAUCUGUCUAGCACAGGAUAACAAAUC
rnacentral:lncRNA from 1 species